AAGUCGUAACAAGGUCUCCGUAGGUGAACCUGCGGAGGGAUCAUUACUGAGUUAGGGAGCGAUCCCGACCUCCAACCCUUUGUGAACGCAUCAUGUUGCUUCGGGGGGCGACCCUGCCGUUCGCGGCAUUCCCCCGGAGGCUCAUCAAAACACUGCAUUCAUUACGUCGGAGUAGUAAAUGUUAAUUUAAUAAAA
rnacentral:misc_RNA from 1 species